ACGCUCUUUUCUUUAUCACCAGGUAAGAUUACUUGUUGGUGUACUCAAAGCCGUUGGCACCGGAGAUAUAACAAUAGCUGAUGUUGAAAGGAUUCUGAACGCGAGGAGUGUGAAUGCGGCGAGUCCAAUGGCGCCUGCGUGCGGUCUCUACCUCGGACAAGUGAAAUAUGAUCUGCCAUGAGAGAUGACUUUAGAGCCUUCUCUUCUUGAUGGUCAUCAAUAAGUAUAGAUCCUUGUAUUGAAUUGAGCUUGAAAUUUUUAUUGGUUAGCAUAGAACUAGAACAAGUAUUCUUUAGUACCACCAUGUUUGGUUUGGUACCAAAUUCUUAUUUAAACAUUUUGAUAAAUCAAUUCAUCAUUAUUGA